AGGCCUCUGGGCUGUAAACCUCUUUUAUCAAGGAAGAAGAUCUGACGGUACUUGAUGAAUAAGCCACGGCUAAUUCCGUGCCAGCAGCCGCGGUAAUACGGGAGUGGCAAGCGUUAUCCGGAAUUAUUGGGCGUAAAGCGUCCGCAGGCGGCCCUUCAAGUCUGCUGUUAAAAAGUGGAGCUUAACUCCAUCAUGGCAGUGGAAACUGUUGGGCUUGAGUGUGGUAGGGGCAGAGGGAAUUCCCGGUGUAGCGGUGAAAUGCGUAGAUAUCGGGAAGAACACCAGUGGCGAAGGCGCUCUGCUGGGCCAUCACUGACGCUCAUGGACGAAAGCCAGGGGAGCGAAAGGGAUUAGAUACCCCUGUAGUCCUGGCCGUAAACGAUGAACACUAGGUGUCGGGGGAAUCGACCCCCUCGGUGUCGUAGCCAACGCGUUAAGUGUUCCGCCUGGGGAGUACGCACGCCAAGUGUGAAACUCAAAGGAAUUGACGGGGGCCCGCACAAGCGGUGGAGUAUGUGGUUUAAUUCGAUGCAACGCGAAGAACCUUACCAGGGUUUGACAUCCUGCGAAUCUCUUGGAAACAGGAGAGUGCCUUCGGGAACGCAGUGACAGGUGGUGCAUGGCUGUCGUCAGCUCGUGUCGUGAGAUGUUGGGUUAAGUCCCGCAACGAGCGCAACCCACGUCUUUAGUUGCCAGCAUUUAGUUGGGCACUCUAGAGAGACUGCCGGUGAUAAACCGGAGGAAGGUGUGGAUGACGUCAAGUCAUCAUGCCCCUUACAUCCUGGGCUACACACGUACUACAAUGCUACGGACAAAGGGCAGCAAGUUCGCGAGGACAAGCAAAUCCCAUAAACCGUGGCUCAGUUCAGAUCGUAGGCUGCAACUCGCCU
rnacentral:rRNA from 1 species